rnacentral:rRNA from 1 species
GGGGUUCGAUUCCGGAGAAGGAGCCUGAGAAACGGCUACUACAUCUACGGAAGGCAGCAGGUGCGUAAAUUACCCAAUCCUAAAUCGGGGAGGUAGUGACAAGAUAUAACAACGCGACCAAAAAUCGCGAUUGUAGUGAGGGUAUUCUAAACAUAGCUUCGAGUACGAUUGGAGGGCAAGUCUGGUGCCAGCAGCCGCGGUAAUUCCAGCUCCAAUAGCGUAUAUUAAAGUUGUUGCAGUUUAAAAGCUCGUAAUUGGACUUCAAGAAUCGCAUCUGGGCAACCAGCAUGCAUUCUACCAGCCCUAGGCUGUUACUGUGAGAAAAUUAGAGUGUUUCAAGCAGGCUAUUGCAGGAAUACAUUAGCAUGGAAUAACGAAUGUGUCUACAAUUUGGUUGAUUGUAGGUUACAAUUAAUAGGGACAGUUGGGGGCAUUAGUAUUUAAUAGUCAGAGGUGAAAUUCUUGGAUUUGUUAAAGACUAACGUAUGCGAAAGCAUUUGCCAAGGAUGUUUUCAUUAAUCAAGAACGAAAGAUAGGGGAUCAAAGACGAUCAGAUACCGUCGUAGUCCUAUCUAUAAACUAUGCCGACUAGGGAUUAGUGCGGUCAGUACCGCAUUAGUACCUUAUGAGAAAUCAAAGUCUUUGGGUUCUGGGGGGAGUAUGGUCGCAAGACUGAAACUUAAAGAAAUUGACGGAAGGGCACCACCAGGAGUGGAGCCUGCGGCUUAAUUUGACCCAACACGGGGAAACUUACCAGGUCCGGACGCAGUGAGGAUUGACAGAUUGAUAGCUCUUUCUUGAUUCUGUGGGUGGUGGUGCAUGGCCGUUCUUAGUUGGUGGAGUGAUUUGUCUGGUUAAUUCCGAUAACGAACGAGACCUUAACCUGCUAAAUAGUUACGCCAAUUUUAUUGGUGUCGACUUUUUAGAGGGACUAUGUCACGUUGAGUGCAUGGAAGUUUGAGGCAAUAACAGGUCUGUGAUGCCCUUAUAUGUCCUGGGCUGCACGCGUGCUACACUGAUGCAUACAACAAGUUCCUAGCUCGAAAGGGUACGGCAAUCUCGAAUAUGCAUCGUGAUGGGGAUAGAUCUUUGCAAUUAUAGAUCUUGAACGAGGAAUUCCUAGUAAAUGUAAGUCAUCAUCUUACAUUGAUUAUGUCCCUGCCCUUUGUACACACCGCCCGUCGCUCCUACCGAUACCGGGUGUUGUGCUGAACCUAUUGGACCUGAAAAGGAAAGAUAUGUAAAGCUUAACACCUAGAGGAAGGAGAAGUCGUAACAAGGUU